CUACCAUUUCUUCAGAUCUAAUAUCGUAGUUGUGAAAACAUCUCCGUUAACUUGAAAAAUGCAGCUACAGAGAAAACUAAUUGGAAACAAACGGCCAGCUACUGCCAAAAUGCCAAGAUGUGCCCAGCAAACGGGUUUUGGUGCAGAACGACACCGUCGUCGAAACUGAAAAUUUUCGAACGAGACACGAGCGUAUAAUGCUAAUUCAACACAUUUAUAACGCUCAAGGCCGCAACUGCUCGUACAACUGCUCUGAACGAUAAACGAAAGGACAAGUUUAUACCCUGUAGGACUUGGUGUUGUAGGUGUCAAUUCAACAGAAAUAACUCUUGUACCAUGGCUGAGUAACGAGUAACGCAUAGACGUUGCAGCUGGCAUUGCUCAGUCGUUUGCUGUUACACAUACUGGAAAACUUUAUGCCUGAGAAAUGGAAUCCAAGGGAAAGCUUGGCACUUGAGAAGAAAAAAACGUUUUUUAACUCAUUUUAAUCGAUUCCAAGUAUCUAAAAGAUGUUCAGGCCCUUCAAGUUUAAGGUGGAGGACAACAUACGAUCUUUCUUGCGAAGAAAAGCGACGUAGUACAAAAGCAUGAAAAUGAAGGUUUUUGUCGGCUUUUUUUAAAAUUAUUUUAUUUUACUCGACUAACUACUAAAAGUUUUGUGGGAUCAGGAUCAAAUUUUAGUUUCAAUUUUUUAGGGUCAAAUAGUUGUUAUCGACGUCAAUUUUCAACCAUUAAAAACUGACGUCUUUUGCAAAACAAAACAUAGCUCACAGAGUCUUACUUAGACCAACAAUACUUUUAUAAUACGAUAUUUUUUUAUACUUUAUCAGAAAUAUCUUGAUCCUUCUGUUUCAAAAGAAUAAUACUAAUAAUUAUAAAAAUAAGCAACUUAAUCACACAACUCAGAAUGCUUGAAAAAAAAUUUUUUUUGGAAGUAAUUUUACAUUACUUGCUAUAAUUCAAGAAGUAACAAAAAUUCUACUGUACCAUGCAUUUCGUAAUUUUUGGCCCUGGCAACUUAACUUACUGUUUUUUACUCUAAAAAAUCAGAAGUUUGAGAUACCCUGCAUUGCGCUGUGCGAAGGGCUUUUAAGAUAACUAACAAUAUUACCUACUUUUAAUGAACUUCAGAAGGAUUCUAAGAUUUGUAAGUAUUUUCCGUACAAUCAAUUUCUGCCAGAAAUCCUGUAGGGGUUCUCUCAGAAUCUUUCAUGAUGUCCUGUAGGUUCUUCCAGAAACUUGAGCAGAAUUCCUCAGGAAAUGGGCU